rnacentral:rRNA from 1 species
GACGAACGCUGGCGGCGUGCUUAACACAUGCAAGUCGAACGAUGAAGCCUAGCUUGCUAGGGGGAUUAGUGGCGAACGGGUGAGUAAUACGUGAGUAACCUACCUUUAACUCUGGGAUAAGCCCGGGAAACUGGGUCUAUUACCGGAUACGACCAAUCUCCGCAUGGGGUGUUGUUGGGAAGCGUUAUGUAGUGGUUAUAGAUGGGCUCACGGCCUAUCAGCUUGUUUGUGAGGUAACGGCUCCCCAAGGCGACGACGGGUCGCCGGCCUGAGAGGGUGAACGGCCACACUGGGACUGAGACACGGCCCAGACUCCUACGGGAGGCAGCAGUGGGGAAUAUUGCACAAUGGGCGCAAGCCUGAUGCAGCGACGCCGCGUGAGGGAUGACGGCCUUCGGGUUGUAAACCUCUGUUAGCAGGGAAGAAGAGGGAUUGACGGUACCUGCAGAGAAAGCGCCGGCUAACUACGUG